UAGGGAAUAUUCCGCAAUGGGCGAAAGCCUGACGGAGCAACGCCGCGUGAGUGAAGAAGAUCUUCGGAUUGUAAAGCUCUGUCAACAGGGACGAUAAUGACGGUACCUGUGGAGGAAGCCACGGCAACCUACGUGCCAGCAGCCGCGGUAAUACGGAGGUGGCAAGCGUUGUCCGGAAUAACUGGGCGUAAAGCGCAUGUAGACGGCAUAGCAAGCCAAGUGUGAAAUUUAGGGGCGUAACCUCUAAACUGCGCUGGGAACUGCUGAGCUUGAGUGCAGGAGGGGCAAGGGGAAUUCCCAGUGUAGCAGUGAAAUGCGUAGAUAUUGGGAGGAACACCAGUGGCGAAGGCGACUUGCUGGACUGCAACUGACGUUGAGAUGCGAAAGCUAGGGGAGCAAACG
rnacentral:rRNA from 1 species